AUUGUAAGAUUUUUAGUUCAACUACAAAUCUUCAAUACAGAGGUUGUGCCAAAACGCAAUACUUGGGCCCACUGAUGAAAGAAAGCCUUAGUUCACAGCUCACAAGACUUCAGUAUCACUGUAAAGACUGACAGUGCCAUAUUGAUACAAUCAGCCAGGAGAGGGAGAAAGGUGAAUGAAACUGACUCGGGAGUGAUUAACAAAGCAGAGUUGCUAAGGCAUUGUGUGACUCUUGACAGAAACUAAUCAUCUCACUCACCAAUCAUCACUGGUACCACUAAUCAAAUCACAACUAACAGCUUAAAAGAAGGCCAAGACAGACAGUCGGGGUGCAUUUUGACUUCGAUGCUCCCAGAGUACAUGCUACGUGUAUUUUCUGUUGCUGCCAUAUUUUGCCAAUAAAGACAGUUUCUACGAAGACCAAGA